rnacentral:rRNA from 1 species
AUUGAACGCUGGCGGCAUGCCUUACACAUGCAAGUCGAACGGUAACGGGCCUUCGGGUGCCGACGAGUGGCGAACGGGUGAGUAAUGCAUCGGAACGUACCUUUCAGUGGGGGAUAACGUAGCGAAAGUUACGCUAAUACCGCAUAUUCUGUGAGCAGGAAAGCAGGGGAUCGCAAGACCUUGCGCUGAUUGAGCGGCCGAUGUCAGAUUAGCUAGUUGGUGAGGUAAAGGCUCACCAAGGCGACGAUCUGUAGCGGGUCUGAGAGGAUGAUCCACCACACUGGAACUGAGACACGGUCCAGACUCCUACGGGAGGCAGCAGUAGGGAAUUUUGGACAAUGGGGGCAACCCUGAUCCAGCCAUGCCGCGUGAGUGAAGAAGGCCUUCGGGUUGUAAAGCUCUUUCGGUCGGGAAGAAAUCGCAUGGGUUAAUACCCUGUGCGGAUGACGGUACCGGCAUAAGAAGCACCGGCUAACUACGUGCCAGCCGCCGCAGUAACAC